rnacentral:misc_RNA from 1 species
CCCGGUUCAGUGAGUUGUGGGCCCAAGAACGUGACGGUUGAACAUCGCAAGUGCAAGUGGAAGUCGAGGGUACCAACGAUCAGCAAGUCUAGAUGUCAAGAUGCCGGCUCAUUGGCAGUGGCUUCUUCUUGUUGGCCUCCUCCUGCUGAUUCCGCACCAUUCAGGGGCGGCCUCCAAAAGAGUGAAACUGUGCCUGCAGCCCAUGAUCAGUGGUCGGUGCUUUGGAUACGUGGAGAGCUAUGCCUACAAUCCCAUAAAGCGCCAUUGCGAACCCUUCAUCUACGGCGGUUGUGGCGGGAAUGACAAUCGAUUUGGCACCAAAGCUGAGUGCGAGUUCAACUGCCGGGAUGUUUGAGAAUGUCAGCCGAAAUGUCACAGUUACCAUAGCUAUCAUUAAAGUUAAAAGCCACACUCAUAGGGUAACAUAGGAAUAUGCUGACAUAAGCCGCGUUUCAAUGUUCAACUAAGUAACUUUGAGUGCCAAACGGGCCACAAUCACAGAUUUCCGCACGUUUUGAUAGUGCGACCAAUGAAAAAAAAUAAACACAAUUACGUCACGGGUCAACGGGGCGGAUGAUUGACAACCAG